UAGAGUGCUUCCAAGGAGCUGUCAGGCCAGGCUUCCAGCAGAGAACCACGAGAAUGAGAAGUUUAGAGCUAAGAGAUUACAGCUCAGCACCCAGAAAAUGGCUGUGCUCAGAGUGUGGCUGCUGCUGGGAAGGAAUGGGCCACGUGUCACAGAGCUGAAGGCUUCUUAAAACAUUUGCAGAUGACGAUCUAACUCAGCACAGAUCUGCGUGGUAGCCAAGUGUGGGUCAACAGGAUCAAGUUCAAAUCCCAGCUCUGAUACUAAUUAACUCCAGACUCUUGGAGCACAGCUUAUGGUGGGAGUGCAGUGACAUUAGUGGCCUGCCUUAC